rnacentral:tRNA from 1 species
GCGGCUGUGGCGGAAUCGGCAUACGCGCACGUUUGAGGGGCGUGUUCCGCAAGGAGUACGAGUUCAAGUCUCGUCAGCCGCA